rnacentral:rRNA from 1 species
GAUGAACGCUGGCGGCGUGCCUAAUACAUGCAAGUCGAGCGAACAGACGAGGAGCUUGCUCCUCUGACGUUAGCGGCGGACGGGUGAGUAACACGUGGAUAACCUACCUAUAAGACUGGGAUAACUUCGGGAAACCGGAGCUAAUACCGGAUAACAUGUUGAACCGCAUGGUUCAACAGUGAAAGACGGUCUUGCUGUCACUUAUAGAUGGAUCCGCGCCGCAUUAGCUAGUUGGUAAGGUAACGGCUUACCAAGGCAACGAUGCGUAGCCGACCUGAGAGGGUGAUCGGCCACACGGGAACUGAGCCACGGUCCAGACUCCUACGGGAGGCAGCAGUAGGGAAUCUUCCGCAAUGGGCGAAAGCCUGACGGAGCAACGCCGCGUGAGUGAAGAAGGUCUUCGGAUCGUAAAACUCUGUUAUUAGGGAAGAACAAAUUUGUAAUUAACUAUGCACGUCUUGACGGUACCGAAUCAGAAAGCCACGGCUAACUACGUG